UACGUAGGUGGCAAGCGUUGUCCGGAGUUAUUGGGCGUAAAGCGCGCGCAGGCGGUGCGGUAAGUCUCUGGUGAAAGCGCUCGGCUUAACUGGGCGAGGGCCGGGGAGACUGCCACGCUGGAGGGGAGCAGAGGCGAGUGGAAUUCCGGGUGUAGUGGUGAAAUGCGUAGAGAUCCGGAGGAACACCAGUGGCGAAGGCGGCUCGCUGGGCUCUACCUGACGCUGAGGAGCGAAAGCGUGGGGAGCGAACAGG
rnacentral:rRNA from 1 species